rnacentral:rRNA from 1 species
UACGGAGGGAGCUAGCGUUGUUCGGAAUUACUGGGCGUAAAGCGCACGUAGGCGGCUUUGUAAGUUAGAGGUGAAAGCCCGGGGCUACAACUCCGGAACUGCCUUUAAGACUGCAUCGCUUGAAUCCAGGAGAGGUGAGUGGAAUUCCGAGUGUAGAGGUGAAAUUCGUAGAUAUUCGGAAGAACACCAGUGGCGAAGGCGGCUCACUGGACUGGUAUUGACGCUGAGGUGCGAAAGCGUGGGGAGCAACAGGG